UACGUAGGGGGCAAGCGUUGUCCGGAAUCAUUGGGCGUAAAGAGCGUGUAGGCGGUUCGAUAAGUCUGCUGUGAAAGUCCAGGGCUCAACCCUGGGAUGCCGGUGGAUACUGUCGGGCUAGAGUACGGAAGAGGCGAGUGGAAUUCCCGGUGUAGCGGUGAAAUGCGCAGAUAUCGGGAGGAACACCUAUUGCGAAGGCAGCUCGCUGGGACGUUACUGACGCUGAGAAGCGAAAGCAUGGGGAGCGAACAGG
rnacentral:rRNA from 1 species